GAUGAAGAACGUAGUGAAAUGCGAUAAGUAGUGUGAAUUGCAGAAUUCAGUGAAUCAUCGAAUCUUUGAACGCACAUUGCGCCCCUUGGUAUUCCGGGGGGCAUAUCUGUUCGAGCGUCAUUGCUGCCCUUCAAGCCCGGCUUGUGUGUUGGGUCGUCGUCCCCCCCGGGGGACGGGCCCGAAAGGCAGCGGCGGCACCGCGUCCGGUCCUCGAGCGUAUGGGGCUUUGUCACCCGCUCGAUUAGGGCCGGCCGGGCGCCAGCCGGCGUCUCCAACCUUCUAUUUUACCAGGUUGACCUCGGAUCAGGUAGGGAUACCCGCUGAACUUAAGCAUAUCAAUAAGCGGAGGA
rnacentral:misc_RNA from 1 species